rnacentral:rRNA from 1 species
GACGAACGCUGGCGGCGUGCCUAAUACAUGCAAGUUGAGCGCUGAAGGUUGGUACUUGUACCAACUGGAUGAGCAGCGAACGGGUGAGUAACGCGUGGGGAAUCUGCCUUUGAGCGGGGGACAACAUUUGGAAACGAAUGCUAAUACCGCAUAAAAACUUUAAACACAAGUUUUAAGUUUGAAAGAUGCAAUUGCAUCACUCAAAGAUGAUCCCGCGUUGUAUUAGCUAGUUGGUGAGGUAAAGGCUCACCAAGGCGAUGAUACAUAGCCGACCUGAGAGGGUGAUCGGCCACAUUGGGACUGAGACACGGCCCAAACUCCUACGGGAGGCAGCAGUAGGGAAUCGUCGGCAAUGGACGAGAGUCUGACCGAGCAACGCCGCGGGAGUGAAGAAGGUUUUCGGAUCGUAAAACUCUGUUGGUAGAGAAGAACGUUGGUGAGAGUGGAAAGCUCAUCAAGUGACGGUAACUACCCAGAAAGGGACGGCUAACUACGUG